rnacentral:rRNA from 1 species
UACGAAGGGGGCUAGCGUUGCUCGGAAUCACUGGGCGUAAAGGGUGCGUAGGCGGGUUUUAAGUCAGGGUGAAAUCCUGGAGCUCAACUCCAGAACUGCCUUUGAUACUGAAGAUCUUGAGUUCGGGAGAGGUGAGUGGAACUGCGAGUGUAGAGGUGAAAUUCGUAGAUAUUCGCAAGAACACCAGUGGCGAAGGCGGCUCACUGGCCCGAUACUGACGCUGAGGCACGAAAGCGUGGGGAGCAAACAGG